CCCUAUGGGGCGCACCAGGGGCGAAACCUCCACAAUGCACGCAAGUGCGAUGGGGUUACCUCGAGUGCCGCCUGAAGAAGGCGGCUUUUCCGCGGUGUAAUGAGCCGUGGGAAUAAGGGGGGGGCAAGACUGGUGUCAGCCGCCGCGGUAACACCAGCCCCCCGAGUGGUGGGGAUGUUUAUUUGGCCUAAAGCGUCCGUAGCCGGCCCGGUAAAUCUCUCGUUAAAUCCAGCGUCCUAAGCGUUGGGCUGCGAGGGAGACUGCCGGGCUAGAGGGUGGGAGAGGUCAGCGGUAUUUCUGGGGUAGGGGCGAAAUCCAUUGAUCCCAGGAGGACCACCAGUGGCGAAGGCUGCUGACUAGAACACGCCUGACGGUGAGGGACGAAAGCUGGGGUAGCGAAUCGGAUUAGAUACCCGAGUAGUCCCAGCCGUAAACGAUGCAGGCUAGGUGUUGGGCCGGCCACGCGCCAGCUCAGUGCCACAGGGAAGCCAUUAAGCCUGCCGCCUGGGGAGUACGGCCGCAAGGCUGAAACUUAAAGGAAUUGGCGGGAGAGCACCACCAGGCGUGAAGCCUGCGGUUUAAUUGGAGUCAACGCCGGGAACCUUACCGGGAGCGACAGCAGGGUGAAAGCCAGGUUGAAGGUCUUGCUGGACGAGCUGAGAGGAGGUGCAUGGCC
rnacentral:rRNA from 1 species